UUGGCACUACCUCCGGCUUUGGUGGAAGCUCACCAGCCAGCACCGGAGGUGGCAGCUCCGGCUUCGGGAGUUCGGGUUGGGGCAGGGGCUGUGGUGGCACCGGCAAUGGCUCCGGCUUCGGCAGGGGUUGUGGUGGCACCGGCAAUGGCUCGGGCUUGGGCAGAGGUUGUGGUGGUACAGGAAGCGGCUCAGGCUUGGGCAGGGGUUGCGGUGGCACCGGCAGUGGCUCCGGCUUCGGCAGGGGCUGUGGUGGCAUCGGCAACGGCUCCGGCUUCGGCAGGGGCUGCGGUGGCAGUGGCAGUGGCUCAGGUUUGGGCAGAGGCUGUGGUGGCACCGGCAGGGGCUCCGGCUUCGGCAGGGGUUGUGGUGGCACCGGCAGUGGCUCGGGUUUAGGUAGGGGCUGCGGUGGCACCGGCAACGGUUCUGGCUUCGGCAGGGGCUGCGGUGGCACCGGCAGUGGCUCCGGCUUCGGCAGGGGCUGUGGUGGCACCGGCAGCGGCUCGGGUUUAGGUAGGGGCUGCGGUGGCACCGGCAGUGGCUCCGGCUUCGGCAGGGGCUGCGGUGGCACCGGCAGCGGCUCGGGUUUGGGCAGGGGCUGCGGUGGCACCGGCAGGGGCUCCGGCUUCGGCAGGGGCUGCGGUGGCACCGGCAGCGGCUCGGGUUUGGGCAGGGGCUGCGGUGGCACCGGCAGCGGCUCAGGGUUUGGCAGGGGCUCAGGAUUCGGUAGGGGCUGUGGUGGCACCGGCAGCGGCUCAG
rnacentral:lncRNA from 1 species